AAACUGAAGAGUUUGAUCAUGGCUCAGAUUGAACGCUGGCGGCAGGCUUAACACAUGCAAGUCGAGCGGAAACGAUGAUAGCUUGCUAUCAGGCGUCGAGCGGCGGACGGGUGAGUAAUACUUAGGAAUCUGCCCAGUAGUGGGGGAUAGCUCGGGGAAACUCGAAUUAAUACCGCAUACACCCUACGGGGAAAAGGGGGCGCUUGCGCUCUCGCUAUUGGAUGAGCCUAAGUCGGAUUAGCUAGUUGGUGGGGUAAAGGCCUACCAAGGCGACGAUCUGUAGCUGGUCUGAGAGGAUGAUCAGCCACACCGGGACUGAGACACGGCCCGGACUCCUACGGGAGGCAGCAGUGGGGAAUAUUGGACAAUGGGGGGAACCCUGAUCCAGCCAUGCCGCGUGUGUGAAGAAGGCCUUUUGGUUGUAAAGCACUUUAAGCAGUGAAGAAGACUCUAUGGUUAAUACCCAUAGACGAUGACAUUAGCUGCAGAAUAAGCACCGGCUAACUCUGUGCCAGCAGCCGCGGUAAUACAGAGGGUGCAAGCGUUAAUCGGAAUUACUGGGCGUAAAGCGAGCGUAGGUGGCUUAAUAAGUCAGAUGUGAAAUCCCCGGGCUUAACCUGGGAACUGCAUCUGAUACUGUUAGGCUAGAGUAGGUGAGAGGGAGGUAGAAUUUCAGGUGUAGCGGUGAAAUGCGUAGAGAUCUGAAGGAAUACCGAUGGCGAAGGCAGCCUCCUGGCAUCAUACUGACACUGAGGUUCGAAAGCGUGGGUAGCAAACAGGAUUAGAUACCCUGGUAGUCCACGCCGUAAACGAUGUCUACUAGUCGUUGGGGAACUUGAUUCCUUAGUGACGCAGCUAACGCAAUAAGUAGACCGCCUGGGGAGUACGGCCGCAAGGUUAAAACUCAAAUGAAUUGACGGGGGCCCGCACAAGCGGUGGAGCAUGUGGUUUAAUUCGAUGCAACGCGAAGAACCUUACCUGGUCUUGACAUAUCUAGAAUCCUGCAGAGAUGCGGGAGUGCCUUCGGGAAUUAGAAUACAGGUGCUGCAUGGCUGUCGUCAGCUCGUGUCGUGAGAUGUUGGGUUAAGUCCCGCAACGAGCGCAACCCUUUUCCUUAGUUACCAGCGGUUUGGCCGGGGACUCUAAGGAUACUGCCAGUGACAAACUGGAGGAAGGCGGGGACGACGUCAAGUCAUCAUGGCCCUUACGACCAGGGCUACACACGUGCUACAAUGGUAGGUACAGAGGGCUGCUACACAGCGAUGUGAUGCGAAUCUCAAAAAGCCUAUCGUAGUCCAGAUUGGAGUCUGCAACUCGACUCCAUGAAGUCGGAAUCGCUAGUAAUCGCGGAUCAGAAUGCCGCGGUGAAUACGUUCCCGGGCCUUGUACACACCGCCCGUCACACCAUGGGAGUUGAUUGCACCAGAAGUGGGUAGCCUAACUUUUAGAGGGCGCUCACCACGGUGUGGUCGAUGACUGGGGUGAAGUCGUAACAAGGUAGCCGUAGGGGAACCUGCGGCUGGAUCACCUCCUUA
rfam:Psychrobacter sp. PRwf-1, complete genome.